UACACUCCUACGGGAGGCAGCAGUGGGGAAUUUUGGACAAUGGGCGAAAGCCUGAUCCAGCAAUGCCGCGUGAGUGAAGAAGGCCUUCGGGUUGUAAAGCUCUUUUGUCAGGGAAGAAACGGUGAGAGCUAAUAUCUUUUGCUAAUGACGGUACCUGAAGAAUAAGCACCGGCUAACUACGUGCCAGCAGCCGCGGUAAUACGUAGGGUGCAAGCGUUAAUCGGAAUUACUGGGCGUAAAGCGUGCGCAGGCGGUUUUGUAAGUCUGAUGUGAAAUCCCCGGGCUCAACCUGGGAAUUGCAUUGGAGACUGCAAGGCUAGAAUCUGGCAGAGGGGGGUAGAAUUCCACGUGUAGCAGUGAAAUGCGUAGAUAUGUGGAGGAACACCGAUGGCGAAGGCAGCCCCCUGGGUCAAGAUUGACGCUCAUGCACGAAAGCGUGGGGAGCAAACAGGAUUAGAAACCCCGGUAGUCCCA
rnacentral:rRNA from 1 species